ACAUUCCCCAUUCUUCUUGUAACGGUGACGCACUUGGAUUCUCUCCCCUGAAUGGCGGGUCUUGGGGCUCUUUAGUUUCCCGAUUAGUCAGGAACAAGCAGGACAGAGCAGAUUUCCGCUGCCUGUGCUAUGAGCCCUGUGGAAAGGGGUCAGCCAGCAAGUUUGAGGGGAGUGUCAUUCAGGAGUAGACCGGCAAGCUUGGACUUCACUGUGUAACCUUCUGGAAGAGCACAUUACCUCCCCUGGCCUCUGAUGUCUUUUAAAACCAGAUCAGUCACAUCCUGUCCCUUCAGUAGAGUAGAGAGGAUAAAGGGAUGUGCCUACUGUAGGAAGCCACCGACUCAGUAGACAAUGUCUUCAUCAUUAAACUUCAUCAACCAAUUAA